rnacentral:rRNA from 1 species
UGGGGGAAUUUUGGACAAUGGGCGAAAGCCUGAUCCAGCAAUGCCGCGUGUGUGAAGAAGGCCUUCGGGUUGUAAAGCACUUUUGUCCGGAAAGAAAUCCUUGGCUCUAAUACAGUCGGGGGGAUGACGGUACCGGAAGAAUAAGCACCGGCUAACUACGUGCCAGCAGCCGCGGUAAUACGUAGGGUGCAAGCGUUAAUCGGAAUUACUGGGCGUAAAGCGUGCGCAGGCGGUUUGCUAAGACCGAUGUGAAAUCCCCGGGCUCAACCUGGGAACUUCAUUGGUGACUGGCAGGCUAGAGGUAUGGCAGAGGGGGGUAGAAUUCCACGUGUAGCAGUGAAAUGCGUAGGAGAUGUGGAGGAAGUACCCGGCAAUGGCGAAGGCAGCCCCCUGGGCCAAUACU